rnacentral:rRNA from 1 species
UACGGGGGGGGCAAGCGUUGCUCGGAAUCACUGGGCGUAAAGCGCACGUAGGCGGCUCUUUAAGUCAGAGGUGAAAUCCCAAGGCUCAACCUUGGAACUGCCUUUGAUACUGGGGAUCUCGAGUCCGGAAGAGGUGAGUGGAACUGCGAGUGUAGAGGUGAAAUUCGUAGAUAUUCGCAAGAACACCAGUGGCGAAGGCGGCUCACUGGUCCGGUACUGACGCUGAGGUGCGAAAGCGUGGGGAGCAAACAGG